rnacentral:rRNA from 1 species
UACGUAGGGUGCGAGCGUUGUCCGGAAUUAUUGGGCGUAAAGGGCUCGUAGGCGGUUUGUCGCGCCGGGAGUGAAAACCUUGGGCUUAACUCAGGGCUUGCUUUCGAUACGGGCAGACUAGAGGUAUGCAGGGGAGAACGGAAUUCCUGGUGUAGCGGUGAAAUGCGCAGAUAUCAGGAGGAACACCGGUGGCGAAGGCGGUUCUCUGGGCAUGAUCUGACGCUGAGGAGCGAAAGUGUGGGGAGCGAACAGG